rnacentral:rRNA from 1 species
UGAAUACGAGAUGCUACGGCGUCGAAGCAGUGUAUGUCAGACUUCCAAGAAAAGCUCGCAAUGUCAUAAAUAAAGAAUGCCUGUACCAUAACCGACACAGGUGGGUAGGUAGAGUAUACUAAGGGGCGCGAGAUAACUCUCUCUAAGGAACUCGGCAAAAUAACUCCGUAACUUCGGGAGAAGGAGUGCCUUCUUUAAGAAGGUUGCAAUAACAAGAUCCAAGCAACUGUUUAUCAAAAACACAGGUCUCCGCUAAGUCGUAAGACGAUGUAUGGGGGCUGACGCCUGCCCAGUGCCAGAAGGUUAAAGAAGUUGGUUAGCUUUUGCGAAGCUGAUGACUGAAGCCCUGGUGAACGGCGGCCGUAACGAUAACGGUCCUAAGGUAGCGAAAUUCCUUGUCGGGUAAGUUCCGACCCGCACGAAAGGCGUAAUGAUUUGGAUACUGUCUCGGAGAGGGACUCGGUGAAAUAGACUUGUCUGUGAAGAUGCGGACUACCUGCACCAGGACAGAAAGACCCUAUGAAGCUUUACUGUAACUUGAAAUUGAAAUUGGACUUUAUUUGCGCAGUAUAGGUGGAAGGCGUUGAAAGUAAUCUUGCGGGAUUAGUGGAGCCAUCAGUGAGAUACCACUCCUAUAAUGUUAGAUUUCCAACUUUGGAUCAUGAUCUGGUCAAAGAACAGUUUCAGGCGGGCAGUUUGACUGGGGCGGUCGCCUCCCAAAUGGUAACGGAGGCGUACAAAGGUUUCCUCUGAACGGGUAGAAAUCGUAUCUAGAGUGUAAAGGCAUAAGGAAGCUUGACUGUGAGACCUACAAGUCGAGCAGGGACGAAAGUCGGUCUUAGUGAUCUGACGGUGCUGAGUGGAAAGGCCGUCACUCAACGGAUAAAAGUUACUCUAAGGAUAACAGGCUGAUCUCCCCCAAGAGUUCACAUCGACGGGGAGGUUUGGCACCUCGAUGUCGGCUCAUCGCAUCCUGGGGCGGUAGUACGUCCCAAGGGUUGGGCUGUUCGCCCAUGAAAGCGGUACGCGAGCUGGGUUCAGAACGUCGUGAGACAGUUCGGUCCAUAUCCGGUGUAGGCGUUAGAAUAUUGAGAGGAGCCUUCUUUAGUACGAGAGGACCGAGAAGGACAUACCUCUGGUGUACCAGUUAUCGUGCCAACGGUAAACGCUGGGUAGCUAUGUAUGGAGAGGAUAACCGCUGAAAGCAUCUAAGUGGGAAGCCCACCUCAAGAUGAGUAUUCUCA